rnacentral:lncRNA from 1 species
UUUAAACUUUAGAUUAGAAGAAGGAAUAGAGGACUCAUGUUGUCAUUUGGUUUGGCAAUCCAUUAUGUUCUAUUGGAUUGUAAGUAUUUGUAGUUGUGGUAUUGAAUUGCAUUUGGUUAUAAAGCCAAUGACGGUUAUCUGCAGCACCAAGUUUGGCAAAAAGUUGUGAACAUCAAGGUCAUGUAUAUUGGCAUGACAACAUUGCAUGCUUUGGUAUUGCAAGAGUACUAGUUUCAUGCAAGUCAAAAGUGUUGGCUUAGUAAAGCACGACAUCGGGUUAUCAUAAUGACUUGGCGGGUGAAUUAGGCAUUUCCCAUACAUAAAAUAAUUGCUCUUUUGAUGCUUUCGAAGAUCCCAUGCAUACCGAGUCAUAUGAAUUAUGCAUGUUGUACAUGACUAAAUGUGGAUGACAUGCCCUCGCAAACAACAACAACAAAAACAAAUGAAUUAUACAUGUUUCU